UACAGAGGUCUCAAGCGUUGUUCGGAUUCAUUGGGCGUAAAGGGUGCGUAGGCGGCGCGGUAAGUCGGGUGUGAAAUCUCGGAGCUUAACUCCGAAACUGCAUUCGAUACUGCCGUGCUUGAGGACUGGAGAGGAGACUGGAAUUUACGGUGUAGCGGUGAAAUGCGUAGAUAUCGUAAGGAAGACCAGUGGCGAAAGGCGGGGUCUCUGGACAGUUCCUGACGCUGAGGCACGAAGGUCAGGGGAGCAAACAGG
rnacentral:rRNA from 1 species